UGAGCUGUGGCUCAAUGGUUGAGCACUUGACUGGUAUGUAUGAGGCACUGGGUUUGAAUCUCAGCACCACAU
rnacentral:tRNA from 1 species